GUACACUGUGGUCUGCCUCUUUGAGGACGUAGGUCUAUACAAGUACAUGGCCUGGUUAGGAACCUUCACUUUCACAAGUGGAUGCCAAGUUCUUAGGUGUACAUCCGCAUCUAAUCAGAAGUAUAGAGUUUCAGCUGUUGGAGCCAAAUGUGUGAUCCCCCUCCAGAAAAGACUUGAGUCUUUACAGUUGGAAUUUCCGUGUCGUGAGUGACAGGAUCUUGGUCCAUCACCCAGGCUGGAAUACAGUGGUGCAAUUAUAGUUCACUGCGGCCUCAAAUUCCUGCACUCAACAGAUCCUCCCACCUCAGCCUCGCAACUGGCUGGGACUACAGGGAUGCACCACCACACCUGGCUAAUUUUUAACUCUUUCGUAGGAAUGAGGUCUUGCUGUGUUGCCCAGGCUGGUCUCGAACUCUGGGGGUCAAGAGAUCCUCCCAUCUCGGCCUUCCAAAGUGUUGGGAUUACAGGCACGCACCACCACACCUGGCUACAUGCCUAAUUUAACAUGAGCUAGAGUUAGGUUUGGCCAUCCCUAGUGUUCAGUGGAGUUGUAGAGUUAGUCUCAAAUGCCAGAGUGAAAGUCCUUGCCUAUCACUCCCUCAUGGGGUAACCAUGGUGGAGCUGCCCAAUUUCCUCAUCUCAGAAGUGAAUAUAAUAGCUUCUACCUCAUAGGGUUGUUGUGAGAAUUGCAUGAGGAAACCAUGGAAAGGAAUUCAUAGAGUACUUAGAAAGGCAGUAAGUACAGGGACAGAUUUGGGUUUCAUGGGACUUGAAGACUACACAACUUCGGAAGCCCUCUUUAAUGAAAAGAAGAUAAAUCUUACUUUUGCAAGUUUUAUAUGAAUAUGUGACUAUGUGAACACAUUGCUCAGGUCCUCCCCUCGCCCGCACACAAGGUCUAGAAAAAGGCUUAUUAAAGUGAGACAUCCUGAAGCUUAAGCGUCACCAGCUUCAAGUUCAACCCACCUCUGAAUAAAUGCUUCAAAUAAAU
rnacentral:lncRNA from 1 species